UACGGAGGGGGCGAGCGUUAUUCGGAAUUAUUGGGCGUAAAGGGCGCGUAGGCGGCGAUUCAAGUGACGGGUGAAAUCCCUCGGCUUAACCGAGGAACUGCCUGUCAGACUGGAUUGCUUGAGGCCGGGAGAGGCGAGUGGAAUUCCCAGUGUAGCGGUGAAAUGCGUAGAUAUUGGGAGGAACACCAGUGGCGAAGGCGGCUCGCUGGACCGGUUCUGACGCUGAGGCGCGAAAGCGUGGGGAGCAAACAGG
rnacentral:rRNA from 1 species